rnacentral:rRNA from 1 species
GAUGAACGCUGGCGGCGUGCCUAAUACAUGCAAGUCGAGCGAACGGACGAGAAGCUUGCUUCUCUGAUGUUAGCGGCGGACGGGUGAGUAACACGUGGAUAACCUACCUAUAAGACUGGGAUAACUUCGGGAAACCGUAGCUAAUACCGGAUAAUAUUUUGAACCGCAUGGUUCAAAAGUGAAAGACGGUCUUGCUGUCACUUAUAGAUGGAUCCGCGCUGCAUUAGCUAGUUGGUAAGGUAACGGCUUACCAAGGCAACGAUGCAUAGCCGACCUGAGAGGGUGAUCGGCCACACUGGAACUGAGACACGGUCCAGACUCCUACGGGAGGCAGCAUUAGGGAAUCUUCCGCAAUGGGCGAAAGCCUGACGGAGCAACGCCCCGUGAGUGAUGAAGGUCUUCGGAUCGUAAAACUCUGUUAUUAGGGAACAACAUAUGUGUAAGUAACUGUGCACAUCUUGACGGUACCUAAUCACAAAGCCACGGCUAACUACGUGCCAGCAGCCGCGGUAAUACUUAGGUGGCAAGCGUUAUCCGGAAUUAUUGGGCGUAAAGCGCGCGUAAGCGGUUUUUUAAGUCUGAUGUGAAAGCCCACGGGUCUACCGUGGAGGGUCAUCGGAAACUGGAAAACUUGUCCUGCUAAAUAUGAAAGUGGAAUUCCCCCUGUACCCGCGAAAUGCGCAGAGAUAUGGAGGAAAACCGGUGGUCAAAGCGACCUUCUCGCCCUGUCACUGAUGUGAAGGCUCGAAAGCGUGGGGGAGUGAAUGAGUUAGAUAUCUGGUAUUGCAAGGGGGCAUUCCAAGUGGGAUCUUAUCUUUUUGUUUCCCUUUUUUCGCGGGGGGAAGAGUCCUUAACUUUUUUUUUUUUUUUUUAGUGACGGCUAAUUAUACAA